rnacentral:rRNA from 1 species
GAUGAACGCUGGCGGCGUGCUUAACACAUGCAAGUCGAACGAUGAAGCCCAGCUUGCUGGGUGGAUUAGUUGCGAACGGGUGAGUAACACGUGAGUAACCUGCCCUUCACUCUGGGAUAAGCCUGGGAAACUGGGUCUAAUACCUGAUAGGAGCGUCCACCGCAUGGUGGGUGUUGGAAAGAUUUAUCGGUUUUGGAUGGACUCGCGGCUUAUCAGCUUGUUGGUGAGGUAAUGGCUCACCAAGGCGACGACGGGUAGCCGGCCUGAGAGGGUGACCGGCCACAAUGGGACUGAGACACGGCCCAGACUCCUACGGGAGGCAGCAGUGGGGAAUAUUGCACAAUGGGCGCAAGCCUGAUGCAGCGACGCCGCGUGAGGGAUGACGGCCUUCGGGUUGUAAACCUCUUUCAGUAGGGAAGAAGCGAAAGUGACGGUACCUGCAGAAGAAGCACCGGCUAACUACGUG